rnacentral:rRNA from 1 species
GACGAACGCUGGCGGCGUGCUUAACACAUGCAAGUCGAACGGAAAGGCCCUGCUUUUGUGGGGUGCUCGAGUGGCGAACGGGUGAGUAACACGUGAGUAACCUGCCCUUGACUUUGGGAUAACUUCAGGAAACUGGGGCUAAUACCGGAUAGGAUCUCCUGCUGCAUGGUGGGGGUUGGAAAGUUUCGGCGGUUGGGGAUGGACUCGCGGCUUAUCAGCUUGUUGGUGGGGUAGUGGCUUACCAAGGCUUUGACGGGUAUCCGGCCUGAGAGGGUGACCGGCCACAUUGGGACUGAGAUACGGCCCAGACUCCUACGGGAGGCAGCAGUGGGGAAUAUUGCACAAUGGGCGGAAGCCUGAUGCAGCAACGCCGCGUGCGGGAUGACGGCCUUCGGGUUGUAAACCGCUUUAGACUGUGACGAAGAGUGAGUGACGGUAAUGGGUAAAGAAGCACCGGCUAACUACGUG